AUGAGUCAGUCAUGCAAUACACAAGUGUGUAUUGCUGCACUGACCACCUCGAGCAUGAGUUCCAGAACAAAGUUGUGCAAGUGGCAGGGUUUUUGUUCUUCUGUUCGUCGCAUGAGACAUCCUGAUGAUCAGUCUGGUUACUCCUCUCUUUCUUACACGCUCCUUCUUUGUGCUGACCUUGAGAUGCUUUUUCUCAACUUCUUGUGUGUUGGAACACAUCCCAAGCAAAUUCUCCAGAAUUUGGCAAAACUAGCUCAUGCAAAUUAUGGCUUGAUGUCAACUGGGUUUAUUUUUAUUCAUAGGGAAGCUCGCGGAAGGUGUUGUGAAAAAGGUGUGGACAGAAGGAUCAUUUCAACAGAUCUGAAAAACAGUGAGUGAGGUGCCUCAUUUGAGAAGCCAUUCUUCACUGGUUUCAACACACGUCGCUGAGUAUUUAUCUUAGUGAAGGUAAAGCAAAGACAUGGACAUUGCAGCUGUAGCAAAAGCUGGUGAGGUCUGUGGUAGUCUUUCCUCAAGAUGAUUGUCUCUAGGCAGUCAUUUAGACAUGAAGCUAAUCCCAUGUAACUCUCAGAGUACUGCUAUGCUGUCUUUGAUAUUGUGCCUAGUUGUGAGCCUACAGUUGUGAUCCUUCUGCCUGGUGCAGUGGAAUAUGAGCUUGACCAAGAGCUCCUAUUCAUGUAUCCAUCCUGACAAGCCAGCUGGCAUCCUUCAUGGCAUUAGCCAUCAUGCUGGAAAAUGUCAACAGCAGUGGGAUUUGGGUCUAAGCAUGAGCCUUGGGCCUGUCUUAGCAUUAAAAUACAGAUGAAAUCCUCAGUGCUCAAAACCCAAAUUUGCUUUAGUUUGGUAAGGUGUUAGUGUAAAGAGAGGACAGUAGCCUUGAUACUGGGGAAAGGGUUAUAUGGGUGAAGUUUUCACAUUACCAACCAUCUGAGUUUCAGUGGCACAGAUGAUCUUGACCAUUUGAGAGGCUGUGGGUGAUUUGUGGGUAUCCCAUCUCAUAUAAAUUGGCGUCAACUUCAUCUCAUGUUGGUUAGGGCCACCUGUUUUUAUUCUAAGCCUGGUUGGUGGCCCUGGGUAUCAUGCAACUGUUAAGUGUCUGUUAUGUGGGACGUGAAUCAUCCCUAGGCCAUUUAUUUUCCACUUCAACUUUUGAAAGCAACAGACAGUUCUCUGUCAUGCUGUAUGAGAGUAAUGGUCUUGCUUGAUUUUGUUCCUUUUUUGUUCUUAUUCUUUACCUGUUCCAACAACUGGGUUCUUUUCUUUUUUUCCUUCUAUUCUAUCUCAUCAAUUUGUGUAAAUGAUCUCUUUUUGUUUAGGGAUGUUAAUUAUCCCAUAACAUAGUUAGCGGGACAUCUGACCUAAGAAAUAACUAAAAACACAUUCUAGACAGAAGUUCUGCUUUCUACUAUUUCAGGGGCUGAAGUAUUCUCAUGUGGCUGAGCUAUGAAGGUAAGAACAAUUUGAAAGCUUUGCAACAGUGGGCUCUCCUGUGUGUUUCAGCACAUGUGGUCUUCACAGCAGUGAAGGCUUCCGAGGAACAAACCAUCAAUCUUUUUUUACCAGGCAGAACUACCUACAUUCUUCCAUUGAGCUCCAUCUGAUCAGUCUUGAUGCCAAAGGACCCUGGUCAGAACCCAAGAUUUCACAGCUCUGGAUGGGCCAGGCUGCUUCCAGGUCUACACCAUUCACUCAUUUACAAAGUGACUAACUAUGUAGGGCCUUUCACAUGCCAGCAGCAGAUAAAUGAAUAAAAGAAAUGGGAAUGAUGUGAUAUGGUGUGCU
rnacentral:lncRNA from 1 species